AACGUUCGUCGUGAAGAGGGAAACAACCCAGACCGCCGGCUAAGGUCCCAAAGUCAUAAUUAAGUGGGAAACGAAGUGGGAAGGCUCAGACAGCCAGGAUGUUGGCUUAGAAGCAGCCAUCAUUUAAAGAAAGCGUAAUAGCUCACUGGUCGAGUCGGCCUGCGCGGAAGAUGUAACGGGGCUAAAUUAUGCACCGAAGCCGCGGCAGCGAUAUGUAAAUAUUGUUGGGUAGGGGAGCGUUCUGUAAGCCUGUGA
rnacentral:rRNA from 1 species